rnacentral:lncRNA from 1 species
CACCUUUUUCGUUUUUGCAGAUUCGGUCCGAUUUUUUCGCCGCCUAACCAAAAUGCCCCUCCUAUACAAUAGCCGCCCGUGUAUUUCUUGACAUACGUAUACUACCCUACUACCCUGCCGUACGGUCUUGCGCGCAUUAAAUGCGCCGCUUCCGCCUUACGCAAUCUCGCUCAUUUCUCGGAACCCGGACCACAUCCGCCCCCGCUAUUCGCCGGCUCCGCUGUUUCCUGUUCGGCUUUAAGACUUUACGAAAUUUUCUAAAUCUAUUGAGAAUUACUGCGCGCCGCGCAAC